CAAGCUACCUUGCUAUGACUUUUGAGAUGUUACUCAGAUGGGUUAGUCGAAACUAAUUAUACCUAAAAAAAAGCAGUUAAAUACCUAGUUAAAUUAUAAUAAAAUUAUAAAUUAAAGAAUAACUACACUAACUAUUCAAAUAAAUGAAUAAUCAUAUCAAUUUUCUUUUCAUUUAUUAAUUUAACCUUUGAUUUUUCUUACCUUUUUAAGAUAAGCUUUUAAGGUUAAGAAGAUUUAUUAAGUUUAUUUAAAAAUUAAAGUUAAAUAUAAAAAUAAAAUACUUCUUACUACUAAGCCCUACCUUUAGGUAGGCAAUUAAGUAGUCAAUAAAUAAAUAAGUAGAAAGAGAUAUAUAGAUAAUAAACCAAUAUUUUUAUUAUUAUAAUGUUUUACCUUAGUUAAAGAUAUACUUCGCGGCGCUUUCCCCCAAGCUGAAUUUCUCCCCAGCGACAGACGGUUAG
rnacentral:rRNA from 1 species